rfam:Nematostella vectensis strain CH2 x CH6 NEMVEscaffold_350_Cont24649, whole genome shotgun sequence.
ACCAGGAUGGCCAAGUGGUUAAGGCGUUGGACUUAAGUUCCAAUGUACGAAUGUACGCGUGGGUUCGAACCCCACUCCUGGUA